CCUACGGGAGGCAGCAGUGAGGAAUAUUGGUCAAUGGGCGGAAGCCUGAACCAGCCAAGUAGCGUGCAGGAUGACGGCCCUAUGGGUUGUAAACUGCUUUUAUACAGGAAUAAAGUUAGCCACGUGUGGUUAUUUGUAGGUACUGUAUGAAUAAGGACCGGCUAAUUCCGUGCCAGCAGCCGCGGUAAUACGGAAGGUCCAGGCGUUAUCCGGAUUUAUUGGGUUUAAAGGGAGCGUAGGCCGUCUGUUAAGCGUGUUGUGAAAUGUAGAUGCUCAACAUCUGAAUUGCAGCGCGAACUGGCAGACUUGAGUGUGCGCAACGUAGGCGGAAUUCGUGGUGUAGCGGUGAAAUGCUUAGAUAUCACGAAGAACUCCGAUUGCGAAGGCAGCUUACGGGAGCACAACUGACGCUGAAGCUCGAAAGUGCGGGUAUCGAACAGGAUUAGAUACCCCAGUAGUC
rnacentral:rRNA from 1 species